UACAGGGGGGGCAAGCGUUGUUCGGAAUUACUGGGCGUAAAGGGUUCGUAGGUGGCCAUCUUAGUCAGACGUGAAAUCCCUCAGCUUAACUGGGGAACUGCGUCUGAUACUGGAUGGCUUGAGUGCAGGAGAGGAACGCGGAAUUCCAGGUGUAGCGGUGAAAUGCGUAGAUAUCUGGAGGAACACCGGUGGCGAAGGCGGCGUUCUGGACUGCAACUGACACUGAGGAACGAAAGCCAGGGGAGCAAACGGG
rnacentral:rRNA from 1 species